rnacentral:rRNA from 1 species
GACGAACGCUGGCGGCGUGCUUAACACAUGCAAGUCGAACGGAGUGGCGAACGGGUGAGUAACACGUGGGUGAUCUGCCUUGCACUUUGGGAUAAGCUUGGGACACUGGGUCUAAUACCGGAUAGUGCAAGAUGAGUGAGCGGCCUAUCAGCUUGUUGGUGGGGUAAUUGACCACCAAGGCGUCGACGGGUAGCCGGCCUGAGAGGGUGUACGGCCACAUUGGGACUGAGAUACGGCCCAGACUCCUACGGGAGGCAGCGGUGGGGGAUAUUGCACAAUGGGCGGAAGCCUGAUGCAGCGACGCCGGGUGGGGGAUGAAGGCCUUCGGGUUGUAAACUCCUUUCGACAGGGACGCGGUACCUGUAUAAGAAACACCGGCUAACUACGUGCCAGCAGCCGCGGUAAUUC